rnacentral:ncRNA from 1 species
AAUAGCAAGCGCCAGAUCCUGAUUGAUCAGGAUGACGAGGAGAAAAGUGAUCGAACAUUCGGCGGAUGCUUUUCCGUACCGCUUUGGGUGCGUAUUUUCUGAAAAAACCUGAAAGUAAUUUCAGGAACAAAGACAGAAUUA